UACGUAGGGUCCAAGCGUUAUCCGGAAUCACUGGGCGUAAAGCGUGCGUAGGUGGCGCGUUAAGUGUGAUGUUAAAUCGCGGGGCUCAACCCUGUCGAUGCAUCGCAUACUGGCGUGCUAGAGGGAAGCAGAGGCAAGUGGAAUUGGUAGUGUAGCAGUGAAAUGCGUAGAUAUUACCAGGAACACCAAUGGCGAAGGCAGCUUGCUGGGCUCUUCUGACACUGAGGUACGAAAGCGUGGGGAGCGAACAGG
rnacentral:rRNA from 1 species